rnacentral:rRNA from 1 species
GACAGAGGUUGCAAACGUUGUUCGGAAUUACUGGGCAUAAAGCGCACGUAGGUGGUCCGCUAAGUCGUGUGUGAAAUGCCCCGGCUCAACCGGGGAAUUGCGCACGAUACUGGCGGGCUAGAGGUCGGGAGGGGUGAGUGGAACUCCAGGUGGAGCGGUGAAAUGCGUAGAUAUCUGAAGGAACACCGGUGGCGAAGGCGAGUCCCUGGACAACUCCUGACACUGAGGCACGAAAGCUAGGGGAGCAAACAGG